AUCUUCCGUACUCUGGAUUUAAUCCACAAGCUCCCCCACCUCAGGCAUACGCGUAUCAGCCACAGUUUUGGCAGCCAAAUAUCCAAAUGCCCGGCCAGAUUCAGGGCCAGUAUCAGAUGACUGCGGGCCAGGGAUUACCUCCCUGGCCCAUGUUCUGGCAAGCACAGAGUCUACCACAGAGCGGUGGAGAUGGAAGUCAGCAUCAAAUAUAUCAAUAUCAUUUGCAGGAUGGCCACGCUAUCUCCCCUGAGUUCUGGCAUUACUACCAGCAGCAGCUGUAUUAUAUGCAGCAUCUGCAGCAAGGUAGCAUCCAGGUGCAGCAGAAGCAGGAGCCUGGCCCGCAGCAGAAAAACGCUCCGUUGCAGCAUGAUCCUCUGCGACAGCAACAACAAGAGGAGCAACAUCAAGAGCAGCAUCUUCAGCUGAACAUCCUUCAGCUGCGGCAUCUACAAAAAAAAAUGGAAAUGGAUCAUUUGCAGUGGCAGGGCCAGCAACAGGAGCUUCGCCAAGCCCAGGAUUCGCAUUUGCAGCAUCAUUCACAGCCACGAUGCCAACCAGACGACUCACCUGAGUCUUCACCCACGCAGGAUCCUCCAAAAACACGACAAGACCAGCUAGAGCAGUAUGUGCAGCACCAAUCCAUUCAGCAGAAGGAUCGGAUGAUCCUGAGCCGCCAGGAACAUCAACAGCAGAUGUACUUGCCACAG
rnacentral:lncRNA from 1 species